UGGGGAAUAUUGCACAAUGGGCGAAAGUCUGAUGCAGCAACGCCGCGUGAGCGAUGAAGGCCCUCGGGUCGUAAAGCUCUGUCCUCAAGGAAGAUAAUGACGGUACUUGAGGAGGAAGCCCCGGCUAACUACGUGCCAGCAGCCGCGGUAAUACGUAGGGGGAUAGCGUUAGCCGGAAUUACUGGGCGUAAAGGGUGCGUAGGUGGUUUCCUAAGUCAGAGGUGAAAGGCUACGGCUCAACCGGAGUAAGCAUUUGAAACUGGGGAACUUGAGUGCAGGAGAGGAGAGUGGAAUUCCUAGUGUAGCGGUGAAAUGCGUAGAUAUUAGGAGGAACACCAGUUGCGAAGGCGGCUCUCUGGACUGUAACUGACACUGAGGCACGAAAGCGUGGGGAGCAAACA
rnacentral:rRNA from 1 species